AUUGAACGCUGGCGGCAUGCUUUACACAUGCAAGUCGAACGGUAACAGGGAGCUUGCUCCGCUGACGAGUGGCGAACGGGUGAGUAAUGCAUCGGAACGUACCCAGUCGUGGGGGAUAACGUAGCGAAAGUUACGCUAAUACCGCAUACGUCCUGAGGGAGAAAGCGGGGGACCGUAAGGCCUCGCGCGAUUGGAGCGGCCGAUGUCGGAUUAGCUAGUUGGUAGGGUAAAGGCCUACCAAGGCGACGAUCCGUAGCGGGUCUGAGAGGAUGAUCCGCCACACUGGGACUGAGACACGGCCCAGACUCCUACGGGAGGCAGCAGUGGGGAAUUUUGGACAAUGGGCGAAAGCCUGAUCCAGCCAUGCCGCGUGAGUGAAGAAGGCCUCGGUUGUAAGACUCGUUUCUAGUCCCGGAAACGGAAAUACGCGCAGGAGUAAUACUACUUGCGUCGGAUGACGUACCGGAACGAAGGAAAGACGACCGG
rnacentral:rRNA from 1 species